rnacentral:rRNA from 1 species
CCUACGGGUGGCAGCAGUAGGGAAUAUUGCACAAUAGGGGAAACCCUGAUGCAGCAACGCCGCGUGAGUGAUGAAGGAAUUCGUUAUGUAAAGCCCUAUCGUCAGAGAAGAAAAUGACGGUACCUGAGUAAUAAGCCCCGGCUAACUACGUGCCAGCAGCCGCGGUAAUACGUAGGGGGCAAGCGUUAUCCGGAUUUACUGGGUGUAAAGGGGGCGUAGACGGCAUAGCAAGUCUGGAGUGAAAGGCGAUGGCUUAACCCUAGGACUGCUCUGGAAACUGUACGUCUGGAGUGCAGGAGAGGUAAGUGGAAUUCUUAGUGUAGCGGUGAAAUGCGUAGAUAUUAGGAGGAACACUAGUUGCGAAGGCGGCCUACUGGACUGUAACUGACGUUGAGGCGCGAAAGCGUGGGGAGCAAACAGGAUUAGAUACCCCAGUAGUC